UUAGAGAGAAGAAGAAUUGUUAAGAAAAAGAGUGGGAGAUUGAGUUUGUGGAUGCGGUGGAAAAUUGGAAAAACACCUUACAUUUCUAGCAAAAGCUUUGGUGUCAAGGUCUCCGGGAUCCCACAGUGCACAUGAUUUUUAUUAGGUGAUUCGGGACUGACGACAGGGAGUUAGACAAGAUGACUAACAAAAAGGGAAUUAUGGGAUGAUUGAGUUGGGUAUAAAUGGGCAUUCGGGACCAAGUAGCAUAAGCAUAGUAUGAGACGUGCAGGUCUACUUGUCCAGUUAUAUGAAUUAACGAGAGUAGAUGAAGAGCAUUCCAUGCAUUAUUAUUAUUAAUGUGAUAUUUGGCAGUGUGAUUGUAUGUCACGUAAUUUAGUUAUAUCAAUUUCCUGUGGUAAGGUCUCAUGUCUCUAUUGAGCGGUGGUUGCUCACCCAUCACCCUAUUUAAUUUUUCAGAUGAAUUACUGGGUAAGACAAGAACUAAACCAGUUGACGCUGAAUUAGAUGAGAGUGAUAGAGUUUUAUUUAUUUCUUGUAAAGUUGUAAGAUUUUGGAGUUAUUUUUAUAAGAGAAGUUUAUUU